GCGGUAAUACCAGCUCUCCGAGUUGUGGGGACGUUUAUUGAGCCUGAAGCAUCCGUAGCCGGCUGUGCAAGUCUCCUGUUAAAUCCAGCGACUAAUCGUUGGCCUGCGGGUGAUACUGCUCGGCUAGGGGGCGGGAGAGGCCGUCGGUAUUCCCGGGGUAGGGGUGAAAUCCUAUAAUCCCAG
rnacentral:rRNA from 1 species